rnacentral:lncRNA from 1 species
AAUCACACUGCCAACAUUCCAGAAAAUGUCGACAUCACCCUGAAGGGACACACAGUCCUUGUGAAGGGCCCCAGAAGAACCCUCCGGGGGAACCUCAAGCCCAUCCACGCAGAGCUGAGUCUCCUUGGAAAGAAACAGAAGAGGCUCUGAGUUGGCACGUGGUGGGGUGACAGAACAGAACCGGCCGCUGUCUGAACCGUGUGCAGUCAUGUUCAGAACGCGAUCAAGGGUGUCGUGCUGGGCUUCCGUUACAGGAUGAGGUGUGUGGAUGCUCACCUACGUAUCAACGUCCUUAUUCAGGGAGAAUGGGUCUUUGGUAGAAAAAUGAAACUUCGGAAAAGAGAUCCGCAGUGUUCGGGUGGCCGGGUGUGUCGCUCGUUCUGUCUCUCCAGCCCACAGGGAUGAACUAAUCCUUGAAGGAAAAGACUCUGGAUUUGUUUCAGAUUCAGCAAACCAGAACUGUUCAAACCAAGGGUUUGGAAGGUUUCUGGAUGGAAGCUAUCUG